AUGAGAUUGAAAAAUAGAAAUAAAGCAAAUUCUCAGUUAAAUUGAAUGAAAAAUAAAAUGACAUGUCACAAGAGUGAAUCUAUCUACUACACCUUAAAAGAGAGACAAGAAAUCACUAUUCAUAAGAGAACUUCCAAUCUGGGUCGUCUAUUUGACUCUCUCUCCAUUUUAACUCUUUAAUCCUGGCCCUUCAUCUGUGAGACUUUUUUUCUCAUGUAUUCUACUCGCUGACAUCACAGAACGCGUUGAUGGAGUAUGCGAUGAAGGAGAGGAGUGUAUCCAUGGUUUGAUUUUGUGGGUAAUCGUCAUCCCUGCAGGCCCUGUCUCUGUAGCGUGAGGAUCGUCAUUCUUUCAGGUGAAAAUCAGAAGGAAGAUAAUAGAUUAUUCAGGAAAUUGUUCAAUUUGUUGUUAGAAGCUGAACGAAAUCGGAAAGAGUUCCUAUAUCUUCGUCAGUUGAAGCUUCCUUAGAUGUCAGGCUCUACCUACUUCCAAAGGCCAAGCUCUUGCAGAUGAGUAUGGUAUCAAGUUCUUUCAGACUAGUGCAAAAACAAACUUGAAUGUGGAGGAGGUUUUCUUUUCAAUAACAAGAGACAUCAAGCAGAGCCUUGCAGACACAGAUUCUAGAGCUGAGAUGAUUCUAGUGAAUUGGCUAAGAAUAAUGAUGAUGGAGAGGAUACUUUCAAGCUGUCCUAUUCAGAUGCUGAGUGAAGAAUUAGAGGAAAAGAACCUUCAAAAAAGUUUUGUUCCUUCAACAAACCUCAAAGAUGGAUGAGAAGAUUAUUAUCAAAGAUGUUGCUGCUCCGAAUUACACAUCUAGAAAGCCAAGUAAAUAAGUUGCAGAAAUCUUCCAAGUGAAACUUGGGCCCCUAAAUUAGCAAACUAGCAAAGAACAUGAGCAACUUGAAGUCAUGCCUCUUCCAGAAAAAUCUAUGGAUGCUGAAAGACUACGACCUGGAAAUUAGUUUUUCAAGAGAAGGUGGAAAAGGAGGCCAGAUUGUGGACAAAGUUGAAAUUGCGGUUCAAAUUACACACAACCAAACCGGUGUCACUAUUCACUGAACAGGUUAUUUUUCCUCUUUUCACACUUAUUUAAUAUGUGAACCCAUCUUCCAUGUUUCUGAGGCUUCUUUGGAACAUAAUAUAGUUGGAGACAAAAUAUAUUUUAUAUGUUAGAAACAUAUUUUAGUCUCAUGUUAAGUAGAUCCAAGAUUCAAACUUAACUCACAAAGUGUUUCUUCUUUAAGAAUUAUUAUCCCCACUUAACUCUUCCUAGAAUCAGAACCUGAAAUACUCAUUCAAGAAAUCUUAAUCCUGAUAUUAGUAUACAGUUGAGAGGCAUUUAUUUCAUAGUUUCUUAAAUUCUCACAGAUUAAUUAACACUAUGGAUUUUACUGCGACAAAUUCACACCAAACUCAUGCAAAUGAGAAUUGAAGUGCAUGAUUAAAAUGCAUUAUGUUAAAGAUUCCCAUGGUAAUGCUUUUGAUGAUUGGUGUUGGCCUGAUCAUCCUCCUAACUUGACACAUUGAACCCAGAGAUUAGAUCCUGGUGGUAUGCUAUGUUUUAUUUUCAGAGUUCUGUUGGUUCCACUCCUCUUUCCAAAUGGAAUGUGCCUUUCGUCUUCAAUGGUUUGAGGUUUGUUAAUUUUUUCAAGGUUUAUUUAUUUAUUUAUUCUUGUGGUUUUUAUCAUGUUUUUGGAAUUGGAAUCUUCGUUUGCAAAGUUUUCAAAGCUGACACUUUCAUCUCAUGCAUUUGGGUUAGGGAAAAGGGAAAGAAAUGAUGUGCUUUGUAAGGAACUCAUUAUCACCAGCAUCCAUUUCCAUGAUAAUGAUUGAUGAUAUGCAUGCAGACCUUAUGACUCAAGCAUUUAUCGUAUAUGCUGGAGAAAUCAUUAGGAUAAUUAACAAUUUAUCCACAUGGUGACUCUAAUCAUCAAUGACCUCAUAAUUUGGGAUUAUCUAUGACACAAAUGUUUCCCCAAAGCACUAUGUCCAGCAGAAAACAAAAUACAUGUUGAAAAUUAAUAGAGGCCAGUAUCAUCCCACCUAUAGGUUUCACACUUAGUGGUUCUGGACUUGUGGUCCCAGAGGCUAGAGUAGUAGCUUGGUUGUUGUACUUGUGCCAAGUUGGACUUGAGAAGGAGGAUGGGAGUAUGAUGAAAAAUAACAAAACACUCCUGAGUGAAGAUUCAACUAAUGUAAAAAGAUUUUGGAAUUUGACAGCUUCAUAUGAAGCUAAACCGUUGUGGUAUUUACUUAUUGCAGGUCCAUGUCUCGAGUUGUUUGCUUUGAUAUAUGAAAUCUUUGUAUUUAGUCAGUUUUGGAGAACUACUAGAGUGAUGUGUUUAGUCUUUAACUUUGUAAUUGUCUUUGAUUUACUCGGAAGUUUCUCAUUACUAAAGUGUGCCUAAUUGCAGGUACUUGCCUAAAGUUGGUUUGGUAUGGACUUUGCAGGCCAUCGCUUAGUGGCAAUAUCAUCUAUUAGGAUAUUAUCAUGAUUGUGUUGAUUUUUUAAAAACUCAUAAAAUAGAGAACAACUUUCAUUCAGGUGCUGUUUGGUAUUGGUGAUUUAAAUUGUAACUCAGUCAUGAUUUUGACUUGGACAUACAAUUCCUAUAUACAAGUUGUAGGAAAUAUAUGUCAAGAUUUUAUUUUUGUUAAUUUUA